rnacentral:SRP_RNA from 1 species
GCCAGGCGUGGUGGCACAUGCCUGUAAUCCCAGCUACUCGGGAGGCUGAGGCAGGAGAAUCACUUGAACCCAGGAGUUGGAGGUUGCAGUGAGCUGAGAUCUCACCACUGCACUCCAGCCUGGGUGAUAGAGUGAGACUCUGUCUCAA